GUCUACGGCCAUACCACCCUGAACGCGCCCAAUCUCGUCUGAUCUUGGAAGCUAAGCAGGGUAGGGCCUGGUUAGUACUUGGAUGGGAGAAAUACAGACCACUGGUUAUA
rnacentral:rRNA from 1 species